rnacentral:rRNA from 1 species
UAGAUACCCUGGUAGUCCACGCCGUAAACGAUGUCGACUUGGAGGUUGUGCCCUUGAGGCGUGGCUUCCGGAGCUAACGCGUUAAGUCGACCGCCUGGGGAGUACGGCCGCAAGGUUAAAACUCAAAUGAAUUGACGGGGGCCCGCACAAGCGGUGGAGCAUGUGGUUUAAUUCGAUGCAACGCGAAGAACCUUACCUAUCUUGACAUCCACGGAACUUGCCAGAGAUGGCUUGGUGCCUUCGGGAACCG